UCAUCAAUGCUGGUGUCUGAGGACGGGCGUGUGUGUGUAUAUGGAGUUCCAGAGAAGUAUUCGAUUAUCAAUUUUGACCAAAGUUCCUUGACCUGAAGCGUCAAUUCUGUCUGACGCGAGUAUCCCCAGCGUUUUCUGUUCUUAUUUUGCACUUGCAUAGUGCUGGUAACAUCGCGAAAUACUAUAUGGGGUCUCUUGAGAAAUAAAAUUUCUCUUAACAGCAGAGUGGCGCAACGGAAGCGUGCUGGGCCCAUAACCCAGAGAUGUUGGGCCUCUCAAACGGAGAAAGGGAAGGCGAAAGAGCGAGAGUGAGAGGCCGCCCUGUGGCCGCGCGAGAGAGGUGGUAACCGGAUAAAAAGCACAACCAUUCAGUGACAAAUCGCAACCGGUUUGAGAAGGGAAAGGACUGCCAGCAGAAAAUGUGCAGAGGCAGCAUGUUCAGAUGCGCUCAAUACCUGUUAAAAUGUAUCAUCUUGCUGAAAAGAUUCCAGUUUUCAGAGAUUUAGUUGACUCUGAAGUCCCCGAUGCACAAAUUUAACGCAGUAAACAACUCCAUUGUUGAAUUCAUUUCGAAAAUCGCGUGAUCAUUGGUCGAGGUGGAUUUCAAACAUUAACUACCAAUAUUUUCGAAAAUCCGUCACAGAUGAUUACAUGAUGGAGAGGGCCCUUAGUGUGAAGACGCCAUCUCGACGAGGACUGUGGGGUGAUCACUUGACCAAUCCUAUCAUGGAUGGAUGCGGCAGGAACAGCAGGUAGAUAAGCAAUGACCAGGACAAGUUGUAUUAUUGUCACCUCUCUUCCACGCUUUAUUUAUCGACAUAACAUCCUUCAACCCCGGAUUGAUGAUUGUUUCCCCAUGUUGCCCCCCCUUUGAUGGACAAAUGGUAACUAUACCUUCAGUUUUUCUUGGUGUACCUCCAAUUAUUAAUCCCUGCUGCUAACCCGCUUUUACGUUUUUCUUUCUGAAUCCCUUUUGGUAAUGGAAGAUAACAUAAUGAAGAAUGCCCUCAUCCCCUUCAUAGCGGGCAUUGAAAUCCUCCACAUUGAGUGUCUUCUGCGCACUUGGUGCCUUCUACAUUCCUUCCAUGUGAUAUUCAGGACCGACUGAAACCGUUACAUUAUCUGAGGGAUGGUGGCAGGUAGUAACCAAUAGGACUCUUCUCUGCCCAAAAAUUGAUCUGAUGUUGUGAAACUUUAGGAUGAACAACCUCCAUGUUGAGGACUGCAAGAGCCUCUCCCUCCAACUGUAUAACAGGACACUUCUCUGCCCCAAAAUUGAUCUGAUGUUGUGAAACUUUAUGAUGAAAAACCUCCAUGCUGAGGACUCCAAGAGCCUCUCCCUCCAACUGUAUAUCAUUGUUCCACCACUCUCGUGUUGCUGCCCUGCUGAUAGGAAAGGACAUACUAGGAGUCAUAGUGCAGAAAUCUUGGUGUAGGGGCGAACGAGAAAGCCAGUACGGAGUUGGUGGCCGAACAACGAGCGGUUUAUUGAAAUUGGUGCGCACCAGGAGAUCAGACGAAGCUGAUCCACCCGAACUCAAUUUCGGGACAGCCUCAUUAUACCUCUCUGCAUGCGUGAUUA